AUUUUUUUAAGAGAAAUUAAUUUAAAAUAAAACCUGCUCAAAUGUAAACAAUAAAUAGCUGCAGAAUAUCUGUACUAAGGUAGCAUAAUCAUUAGCUUUAUAAUUAAAAGAUAGAAUGAAUGGUUAAACGAAAUAAGUUCUGUUUCUAAAAAUUUAACUAAAUUAAAAUAAAAGUAAAAAUUCUUUUAAACAUAAGAAAGACGACAAGACCCUAAAAACUCAAAUUUAGCUGGGGCGGCAAUAUAAAAAAACCUUAAAAAUAGAAAAAAAACUCUAUAAAAUUAUAAUUUAACCAAGUUACUAUAGGGAUAACAGCGCAACUUUAGUUUAAAGUUCUUAUUUUAACUAAAAUCUACGACCUCGAUGUUGAAUUUAAUUUAACUAAUAAAAGCAAAAAUUUAAUAAGAAGGUCUGU
rnacentral:rRNA from 1 species